rnacentral:misc_RNA from 1 species
UCCUCGUUUAGACGAGGCAGUCUGUCCAGAGUGCUUCGAACUCUCGUUCGAGUGGCAACAGGACACAAGGGUUGCGCUCGUUGCGGGACUUAACCCAACAUCUCACGACACGAGCUGACGACAGCCAUGCAGCACCUGUGUAGGCUGGUAUUGCUACCUCGUCACCCUUUCAGGCUUCUACUACCUACAUGUCAAGGCCAGGUAAGGUGGGGAUGACGUGCUCUACG